rnacentral:rRNA from 1 species
UCUCAUGGCCCUUAUGGGUAGGGCUUCACACGUCAUACAAUGGUCGGGACAGAGGGUUGCCAACCCGCGAGGGGGAGCUAAUCCCAGAAACCCGAUCGUAGUCCGGAUUGCAGUCUGCAACUCGACUGCAUGAAGUCGGAAUCGCUAGUAAUCGCGGAUCAGCAUGUCGCGGUGAAUACGUUCCCGGGUCUU